rnacentral:rRNA from 1 species
CCUACGGGAGGCAGCAGUGGGGAAUAUUGUGCAAUGGGCGCAAGCCUGACGCAGCAACGCCGCGUGCAUGAAGAAGGCUUUCGGGUUGUAAACUUCUUUUCUCAGGGACGAAGCAAGUGACGUUACCUGAGGAAUCAGCCACGGCUAACUACGUGCCAACAGCCGCGGUAGUGCGGAGGGGGCAAGCGUUAUCCGGAUUUACUUGGUGUAAAGGGCGGGGAGGCGGGACUGCAAGUCAGAUGUGAAAACCACGGGCGCAACCUGGGGCCUGCAUUUGAAACUGUAGUUCUUGAGGACUGGAGAGGCAGACGGAAUUCCUAGUGUAGCGGUGAAAUGCGUAGAUAUUAGGAGGAACACCAGUGGCGAAGGCGGCCUGCUGGACAGCAACUGACGCUGAGGCGCGAAAGCGUGGGGAGCAAACAGGAUUAGAUACCCCAGUAGUC